AUUGAACGCUGGCGGCAUGCUUUACACAUGCAAGUCGAACGGCAGCGCGGGCUUCGGCCUGGCGGCGAGUGGCGAACGGGUGAGUAAUGCAUCGGAACGUGCCCAGUAGUGGGGGAUAGCCCGGCGAAAGCCGGAUUAAUACCGCAUACGACCUGAGGGUGAAAGCGGGGGGCCGAAAGGCCUCGCGCUAUUGGAGCGGCCGAUGUCGGAUUAGCUAGUUGGUGGGGUAAAGGCUUACCAAGGCGACGAUCCGUAGCUGGUCUGAGAGGCCGACCAGCCACACUGGGACUGAGACACGGCCCAGACUCCUACGGGAGGCAGCAGUGGGGAAUUUUGGACAAUGGGGGCAACCCUGAUCCAGCCAUGCCGCGUGCGGGAAGAAGGCCUUCGGGUUGUAAACCGCUUUUGUUCGGGAAGAAAUCCUCUGGGCUAAUACCCCGGGGGGAUGACGGUACCGGAAGAAUAAGCACCGGCUAACUACGUG
rnacentral:rRNA from 1 species